UAGGGAAUCUUCGGCAAUGGACGAAAGUCUGACCGAGCAACGCCGCGUGAGUGAAGAAGGUUUUCGGAUCGUAAAACUCUGUUGUUAGAGAAGAACAAGGACGUUAGUAACUGAACGUCCCCUGACGGUAUCUAACCAGAAAGCCACGGCUAACUACUUGCCAGCAGCCGCGGUAAUACGCAGGUGGCAAGCGUUGUCCGGAUUUAUUGGGCGUAAAGCGAGCGUCGGCGGUUUCUUAAGUCUGAUGUGAAAGCCCCCGGCUCAACCGGGGAGUGUCAUUGGAAACUGGGAGACUUGGGUGCAGAAGAGGAGAGUGGAAUUCCAUGUGUAGCGGUGAAAUGCGUAGAUAUAUGGAGAAACACCAGUGGCGAAGGCGGCUCUCUGAUCAGUAACUGACGCUGAGGCUCGAAAGCGUGGGGAGCAAACAGG
rnacentral:rRNA from 1 species